rnacentral:rRNA from 1 species
AGAGUUUGAUCCUGGCUCAGGAUGAACGCUGGCGGUUUGCUUAACUCACGCAAGUCGAACGGGGAUUAUUUUGACAGAGACUUUCGGUUGAAGUCGUUUAUAAUCCUAGUGGCGGACGGGUGAAGUAACGCGUGGGUAACCUGCCUUAUACAGGGGGAUAACAACCAGAAAUGGUUGCUAAUACCGCAUAAGCGCACAGGACCGCAUGGUCCGGUGGUAAAAACUCCGGUGGUAUGAGAUGGACCCGCGUCUGAUUAGCUAGUUGGUGGGGUAACGGCUCACCAAGGCGACGAUCAGUAGCCGACCUGAGAGGGUGACCGGCCACAUUGGGACUGAGACACGGCCCAAACUCCUACGGGAGGCAGCAGUGGGGAAUAUUGCACAAUGGGGGAAACCCUGAUGCAGCGACGCCGCGUGAGCGAUGAAGUAUUUCGGUAUGUAAAGCUCUAUCAGCAGGGAAGAAAAUGACGGUACCUGACUAAGAAGCCCCGGCUAACUACGUGCCAGCAGCCGCGGUAAUACGUAGGGGGCAAGCGUUAUCCGGAUUUACUGGGUGUAAAGGGAGCGUAGACGGCAUGGCAAGCCAGAUGUGAAAGCCCGGGGCUCAACCCCGGGACUGCAUUUGGAACUGUCAGGCUAGAGUGUCGGAGAGGAAAGCGGAAUUCCUAGUGUAGCGGUGAAAUGCGUAGAUAUUAGGAGGAACACCAGUGGCGAAGGCGGCUUUCUGGACGAUGACUGACGUUGAGGCUCGAAAGCGUGGGGAGCAAACAGGAUUAGAUACCCUGGUAGUCCACGCCGUAAACGAUGA